AUCUUUUUAGUAUUAAGUAGUAUACGUGGCUUCCAACCACAAAGUCUUGGUUAGAUUCCAAGGAAAGAUA
rnacentral:tRNA from 1 species